rnacentral:misc_RNA from 1 species
UUGCAGCUUCAUGUGUUGAUC